rnacentral:rRNA from 1 species
UGACAAUCCUAGAGAUAGGACGUCCCCUUCGGGGGCAGAGUGACAGGUGGUGCAUGGUUGUCGUCAGCUCGUGUCGUGAGAUGUUGGGUUAAGUCCCGCAACGAGCGCAACCCUUGAUUUUAGUUGCCAGCAUUCAGUUGGGCACUUUAAGGUGACUGCCGGUGACAAACCGGAGGAAGGGGGGGAGGAGGUCAAAUCAUCAUGCCCCUUAUGACCUGGGCUACACACGUGCUACAAUGGACAGAACAAAGGGCAGGGAAACCGGGAGGUUAAGCCAAUCCCACAAAUCUGUUCUCAGUUCGGAUCGCAGUCUGCAACUCGACUGCGUGAAGCUGGAAUCGCUAGUAAUCGCGGAUCAGCAUGCCGCGGUGAAUACGUUCCCGGGCCUUGUACACCCCCCCCGUCCCCCCCCGAGAGUUUGUAACACCCGAAGUCGGUGAG